GUACAACUUUCAGCAACGGAUCUCUUGGCUCUCGCAUCGAUGAAGAACGCAGCGAAAUGCGAUAAGUAAUGUGAAUUGCAGAAUUCAGUGAAUCAUCGAAUCUUUGAACGCACCUUGCGCCCUUUGGUAUUCCGAAGGGCAUGCCUGUUUGAGUGUCAUUAAA
rnacentral:rRNA from 1 species